CAGGAGCCCUUUCUAUCUAAGCCAGACAACACAGUAGGCAUGUCUCCUUAGGUAUGGAUGUGCUGAAUGAGGCCAUUGGUACCCUCACUGGCCGUGGGGACCGGAAAACCUGGGUCCCCGCUAUGCUCAGUGUGUCUGACUCUCUGAUGACUGCACAUCCUAUUCAGGUACGACUAAAGGGUGAAGUUUGGGGCCUUGGAGGGUAAGCAGGCAUGUCGAGGUGGGGGUGUGUGUGUCUUUACUUAGUUCUGGAAGUAUUGGGUCUGGCCAUUGCUUAGUUUGUAGUGAUUAUGCUUUAUGUGGGCAGGCAGAGGCUGGUGCAGAGGAAGAGCCACUGUGGCAGUGUCCUGUUCGCCUUGUAACCUUUAUUGGUGUUGGCCAUGAUCCGCAUACCUUUGGCCUCAUCGCUGAUCUUGGUUGUCAGAGCUUCCAGUGUGCAGCUUUCUGGUGCCAACCUCAUGCUGGGGGACUCUCUGAAGCUGUGCAAGCUGCCUGCAUGGUUCAGUACCAGAAGUGUCUAGUGGCCUCAGCAGCUCGGGGUAAGGCCUGGGGUGCUCAGGCUCGCGCUCGCCUGCGGCUCAAGCGGACCAGCUCCAUGGACUCCCCAGGCGGCCCCCUUCCUCCCCCUCUACUCAAAGGAGGGGUUGGGGGUGCUGGAGCAGCUCCUCGAAAGCGGGGUGUCUUCUCAUUUCUUGAUGCCUUCAGGCUAAAACCUUCUCUUCUCCAUAUGUCCUAAAUUGAUCUUAGAGGGCUGGGGAAAGAGGCUCUAUACUCUUCCAGUCCCUAGGGUUCUGUAGCCUCUCACCUUCCUGCCAUCCCUGAUCCUUGCCUACUCUGUAUUUAUGACCAAGUUCGUUGUUUAUAUGGAUGACUGAGAGGCCCUGCACUCUAACUUAGGCCUGUAGCACCACUUUCCUUUGGUCCUUUUGUUCCUUGCCCCUGUCCAGCCCUGGACAAUUGGCUCUACCUCAUCAACUUUAUAGCAGAAUCAGUGAAAAUAAAAAUCCCUCAGUAAUCUC
rnacentral:lncRNA from 1 species